rnacentral:rRNA from 1 species
AUUGAACGCUGGCGGCGUGCUUUACACAUGCAAGUCGGACGAGUGGCGAACGGGUGAGUAACGCCUCGGAACGUACCGAGUAAUGGGGGAUAACUGUCCGCAAGGACAGCUAAUACCGCAUAUUAUUCGAGCGGCCGAUGUCGGAUUAGCUGGUUGUCGGGGUCAAGGCCCACCAACGCGACGAUCAGUAGCGGGUCUUCGAGGAGGAGCCGCCACACUGGGACUGAGACACGGCCCAGACUCCUACGGGCGGCAGCAGUGGGGAAUGUUGGACAAUGGGCGCAAGCCUGAUCCAGCCAUGCCGCGUGUCUGAAGAAGGCCUUCGGGUUGGAAAGGACUUGUGUCAGGGAAGCGGUACCUGAAGAAUAAGCACCGGCUAACUACGUGCCAGCAGCCGCGGUAAUUC